rfam:Schistosoma mansoni strain Puerto Rico chromosome 1, complete genome
GCACUGCUAAAGAGUUCCACAAUAGGACGAAAUGGCCGUCCAGUGC